UUCUGUAAAUACAAUUAAAAGAUUAGUGAAUUGAAAAUAAGCAAAAUAAUCGAUAAAACAGGACAGCUUUAAUUAGCAUCCCCUUAAGGGGGAGUGGGCGCUUCGCGACUGGUUAGAAGAAAUUAUAUAUAUUCUAUUUUAUUACACCUAUAAUUAUAAUAAAUUUAUAUACAUACUAGUGUAAAGUAUCCGCCAUUACCCGGAUAUUUAUAAUUUAUAUUUAUUUAAAAUAUUAUAUUUAAAAAAUGUUUUUUUAUAAAAGCAAAACAAUAUGGGUCGUACUGUCAACUCGGUCUUCACAUGCAUGCGCGCACGCUUAUUAAUUAGCUCAGAUGUUUGAAAAAAUAAUCUAUAUAUACAAAAUAGAAUAUCAGUCUGAUUAAAUUGAUAUCACUUUAUUCUGCUAAAUAUAUAUAUAUUUUUUUUAAUAUAUCUAAUUUAUUAUUCUAAUGCUUUCCAUCACACAAUAUUUUUAGUUUUUCCCUCCGGAGCGAAAAUGUAUAAAUGUUUUAAUGUGCCUACUCAUGUCUUUUUAAUUAAAAAAAUAAGAUUUAAAUGUGCUAAAAAAAGUUUAUUUGCAUGUAAUCCAGAUGAAAUCAUUUGUAAUCCGAUGCAAUUAUUUGUAAUCAUAUGAAAUCGUAUGAAAUCAAAUAAAAUUAUGUAAUCCGUGAGACAACAUUUUAGCUAGUGGUUACCCCCUCGGUAUGAGCGCAAUGAUAUUAUGUGUGCAAUGUGCAACGUGUGCAAUAGCGUCACGUGUGCAAUGUGUAUGAUCGUAAUAAUUUAACGUGUGCAAACGUACUUUUGCACCUUGAUUAUUUUCGUGUGUGCAAACGAAGCAGUAGGCAAUCGGGAACGUAGGCAAACGGAACCCACUCCUAAAAAAAUAUAUGAUUACAGAAGUAAUAUGAUUACACUAUUUCUUUGAAUUUAAUAUAUGUAUUUGUUUGAAUUAUAUUUGUUUCACUGAAAAAAAUUAUUUUUUACAAAAUAUUGUUUUACUGCAUAAAAAUUUGAUUGUUUUGUUCAAAGAAUGUUUUAUUUAAAAUAAAUUACUUUGUUUAAAAGUCCAAACAAUUAUUUAUUAGUUCAAACAUCGACGUAUACCAAUGACCAAAUUUGUUUGACUUAAAGAAAAUUUAUUAAAUCUAAAGAAAUUCUUUUCUCUCUAUGUAUAUAUAAUGCAUUUACACAUACACACGCGUAUGCGCGCACGUGAAUGCAUUAUUUUAUUAAAUAAAUUUUUCACCGAUGAAGGAAAAAAACGAAUUUUAACUGUUUCUUAAACAUUUUUCUUCUAUUUAAAAAAUGUUUUCCUAAACGUUUUUGGAGUGGACAUUUUUACCAAUUAGAAACGUUUCCAAGAGUCGGUUACAAAACGUUUCGAAAAAACAUUUGUGAAACGUUUUUGAAACGAGUAUGUGCUACCUGGGAAAAAAAAGAUGUAAAGCAGUUAUUUCUUGAACAAUUAUCUGAACACAUUGCGAAAAACAAAUGUGUAGGAAGGAAAUCUGAACUAUUAUUAACAAAUAAUUAUUAAUUUAUCGAUUAAAAUUAUCCAAAAGUUGUCAAAGUAUGUAAAGGGCGACAAUAAUUUCGGAGAUAAUUGGCUGUAAUCCGGAUUUUUAAACUCCGAAUAUAUUUAUAGAAUUCUAAAUUUUUUAACAUUUUUGUAAAGUGUUUUAAUUCGUAUAAAAAAUCUGAAAAGUUGUAACAUUGUAAUAUUAAAUAAACAAUAUAUACAUUUUUACUAAUUCUUUUAUUUUAAAAAUUACCAUGAUUACUGCAUGUCUAAGAAUAUUGUCAAAAAACCCUUAAAGAACGUUAAAUAAGUUGUCUAAAAAUUGAAAAGUAAAAAAAACGUUUUACAUUUGUAAGAAUUAAAAACAUCAGAAAUUUAAAAAUAAGACAUCUAUAAAAUGUUUCUAAAGAUAUCUUUCUGAUAAUUAUAAGACGUCUUAAGACGUCACAAGAAUUUUAAAAUGUCUUUUAUAGACGUCUUUAAAAUAUCAUAAAAUUAUCUGAUGUAUUUUACGCCACACGAUGAUUUAUGCCGUAAAAAAAUAAAUCGAAAGAAUUAGCGUGUGUAAUUUAUAAACAAUCUCUCUUUUAUAUGCUUUUAUGUUAUACAAUGAACCCUGCAUUUCACACCGAGAGAAACAAAUAGUUAUAGUAAUCAUAAUAUCAGUACAAUUUAUAGUUAGAUUUGGACUAAAAUAUUAUUGUAAUUAUUUAACAAUAUAAUUUAUAGAUUAUUUAAAUUAUAUUAAAUAUUCUCAUAAUCAUAGUAAGUUGUACCAUAAAACAAUCAUUAUUAGUAAUCACUAUAAACAUAUGGUUAUUAUUAUCAAUAUUGUAUUAAUAAUUACUUUAAAAUGAUAUUCUUGACUAUAAUUAUUUUAUUACUAUAGUAAUUUUUACAUUUACAUACGACUGUAAUUGCAUAUAUGCAUAUAUGCAAUUACAGUCGUAUGUAAAUGUGUGUAGUUGUGUAGUAACCACGAUUGUUGCUCCCCUAACCGCUAUGAUGUGUUCAUGCAGAUCUUGUACGAGAUUAUGAUUUUUAGUCUAGUUUUUAUUAAAUUUAGUAGUUAAUAUUUUGAAAAAACCAAAAAGAAAA